UACGUAGGGUGCAAGCGUUAAUCGGAAUUACUGGGCGUAAAGCGUGCGCAGGCGGUGAUGUAAGACAGAUGUGAAAUCCCCGGGCUCAACCUGGGAACUGCAUUUGUGACUGCAUCGCUGGAGUGCGGCAGAGGGGGAUGGAAUUCCACGUGUAGCAGUGAAAUGCGUAGAGAUGUGGAGGAACACCGAUGGCGAAGGCAGCCCCCUGGGCCGACACUGACGCUCAGGCACGAAAGCGUGGGGAGCAAACAGG
rnacentral:rRNA from 1 species